AUUCUCCUGCCUCAGCCUCACAAGUAACUGGGAUUACAGGCAUGCACCACCAUGCUUGGCUAAUUUUGGUAUUUUUAGUAGAGACGAGAUUUCACCAUGUUGGUCAGGCUGGUCUUGAACUCCUCACCUCAGGUGAUCUGCCCUCCUCGGCCUCCCAAAGUGAUGGGAUUACAGGCGUGAGCCAUCCUGGAUAAGUUACAUCUCUGGCCUUUGGGGUCCUACUCUAUAAAAUGAGAAAACUGAAAUCGUUGAUCCCUAUGAUUUCUAAUUUUCUUUCAUUCUAAUUAUCGGCAGAAUUGGAAGCAACUUACAUUCUGGUUUCAGGAAUACAUGAGUUCAAAUAUUGCUCUACCUAAAGUUCAGAGCAUUGUUUAACCUCUUUAAAUUUGGAAAACAGGGAUAUUAAAACAUGCCUAACAGUGCUAUUGUGUGGAUUAAAUGAUGGCUUCAUUUUUUUUCUUGCCUUAGGAGUAGGCUUAAGGUAAGAUUUGUUUAGUGAUUUGUCUCAUGGACAUCUCCGUUAAGUAAGUAGAAGUAUUUCGUAUAUGUGGUAUCCACAAUACUGGCUUGAUUUUUUCUUUUAAGUUAAACCUAAGAAGGCCGAAGAAAUUUUGGGGGAAUCACUAUAAAAUGAAAAUCAUUAUAAAAUGAAAAUGGACGCAACUUCUUCCCCACUUCCCAACGUUACUGUUUGCGGAACAUACUCAAGAACCAUUCCAUGCAAAGUUUUACAUGAUCGGAAGGAAGCAGGUCGUGCUCUUCACUUGCCAAUUCCAUGGUGCGGAAUAAAAACAAAACAAAACAAAAUAUUUAGUGUCCAGCACUCCACGUGGGCAAGUAUUUACAACUAACAUUUCAAGUUUUAACAUUUCAUCACUUUAAAUUUAAAAACAAAAUCACUGAAGCAAAUAUCCCCAGAUAAAAACCUACCCAAUUUGCAUUCUUUUAUUUUUAAUUUGCCUGAGGCCAAUAAUUACCUUCGUCUAGGAGAAGAAUGGGUCAAAUAUUCACUCUGCCAGGUCCUGGCGUCCCGGAGUACCUUUGCAACAAACGCGUCCUAAACGCUCCAGACCCUCCACAUCUCCCUUCCCGCUAGGGGGGCCUGUGGGGCCCGACCAUCUGCCAACCCUUUUGUGUCUUCCGGCUCUUAUUUCCUCCCCCGCGGAGAUCUCACCUGCACGCCCUGCUGCUGGAGGCUCUGCGUGAUGUAAUCUAGACGGCGACAAACGCUCUUUUUGGCCUCGGCUGCCGCCUCCUUGGUGCUGCUCACUCGCACCACCACCUGCGCCCGGUCAGGGCCCGCAGACACUUCUGAGGUGCCGCUUACUUGCACCUCGCGGGUAGCAGUUUGGGCUUGUGUUGAGGAGAGGGGGUGGCGUAAGCCCGGUAGCGUCUCUCUCCCUGAGGCCAGGUUGUUCUCCCGGCUCCGGUCAGCCCAGGGAACCAGUUCCACGAACACUCGGGUCGGAGGGGUCUUUUGCAGAGACAUAGCGAUGGCAGCUGGGUUUCCAUAGUAACUACCGGCCGACGGCGGCCGAAGGGGCCAAUGCGCACCAGGGCUUGCCUGUGCACGGCGCAAAGUAUGCCGGGAUGGGUGUGGAGGCCGCGGAACUUCUGGCGGGCGCAAGCUAUAUGCCUUGUUGAUCUUGCCGCAUCUUUUUUACUAGAUGUCGGCUGAGUGAGUAGCUACAGUUUUUAACAUGUUUAACUUACGGCCUUCAAAAAUUGUUAGCGGACUUUCUCUGUUGCCUCCUCAGUGAGCUCUGCCCUUUCUCGCAACUCCUUGUCGUCCCACCGCGCCUCUGCACCUCAGAGGAAGGAGAAGAGUAGCGAGGCCGAGCGGGUUUUUAGAUUUCUCUGUGAUUACCCCCAGCCUUGUCUUUUCUGACUUUACCGUCCCCGCUUGGGGUACUGCUUUUUGAGGCUCCCUCGGCCACAUUUUUGUGGUUCGUGAGAGGUUUCAGUUGAGGUGAACUUUUUGCCCCUGUGAUCUUGGACAGUUUAUGAUUCUUCAUAUCUCAGUAUCAUCUUCUCUAAAGCAGGGUUGAUAAUAUUUUUUAUAUUAGUAAUAUAUAAUAUAUUCUAAUAUAUAUAAUAUAUUCUAAUAUAUAAUAUAUUCUAAUAUAUAUAAUAUAUUAAUAUUAUCAAAGCAAUGUUGAUAAUAUUUUUCACAUUUGCUAUGUGCUUAUAAGGCGCCCAUUGUAUGUAGAGUGCGUUGCAUAUGGAAAGCAGAGUGAACAUAAUGGAUGUUUGUAAUGAUAGCUAUGGCUUUGGCAUCAUUUUUGUGUCUCCCCAUUUUUUUCUAAAAUCCCUGGAAUGGUUCGGGCCUUGAAUUCCGACAGAAGAGAUUUAGGUGGUAGCAAAGCACGUCCAACAUGGAGUUUGCUGGGCCUGCACAACUUGGAGCUUCUCUGUACCCUUUUCUUCAGAGAACUUUUAGAACACAACCCUCAACUUCCCGUCUUCUGGAUUCUCUUCCUAGCACUAAGCAAUGAUCUUUGUAAAAAUAGCCCCACUGACUUAUACGUCUUUACUAUCUGAAUUUUAUCAAGAGAAUCGAGGGGGGAAAAAAGAAUUUUGAAUAACUAGUUCUAGAAGGACAAGAACUGUUCUUUUAAAAGGACCCUGAAAA
rnacentral:lncRNA from 1 species